CAGGGCUCCAGGCACCACUCCAGUCCAGGGUGUCAUGGAGACGAGACAAAACUACAGUACGUACAGUCUCCAGACCGCUGCAGGGGUCAGUACACAGUUUUUUUUUUCUUUUUUGCAUUCCAAAGAUAAUAAGGCCAGUACAUGCACAGUACUGCUUCAUUUCCAUGUGAUGUGUGGUCUAGUUCAUCAUACCUAGCUUAAGUUUCCAUCGGAAGUGUACCGCAGUACUUAAACCCAUCACGCAUGAUCCUUUGCGUUGAUUGGAAGCACCAAUCGAACCGAAGAAAAUUGGUUGCUUCCAUUCCAUUCACCUAAACGUGUGUGUGGUGGUCAGAGCUAGUGUCCACAUAUUCUUCACCCCAAAUUAAAGCGGUUACUCUCAUUCACUGACCUAAAUCAUAAAAUCAGGCUCAUCACGAAUGGACUAGAGACCGUGCGAGUCCACUUAGCUAGAACAGCACGCACUCGUCAGCUCCUCUCCUCUGUGAUAUAGGGAUAUGAUACUGAAACUUUGGGAGCCCAAAAUACACUUGCUUCCUUUCACCUCCUCUCCCACUUGAAGCGCUCGACGACCUUGCGGUGCGUGUGUCGACCUGCAUGAACUGAAGUCCUCGAAGACGAAGGCUAUAUGCGCAUCAGCAGUCAUCAGCACAACGCAACGCGAAUAUCCAGGCAUCCAUCCAAUGGGCAGCGCGAACUCCUUUAGAAUAACGUAACGCUUCUCUUCUAGUAGUAGUACCACCAAU
rnacentral:lncRNA from 7 species